rnacentral:tRNA from 1 species
UCCGGUAGGAGGCAGAGGUAAGCCUAAGCCUGCUAAGCCUGUGCCCCUCUGGGGCGCGUGGGUUCGAAUCCCACCCCCGGCG